rnacentral:rRNA from 1 species
GACGAACGCUGGCGGCGUGCUUAACACAUGCAAGUCGAACGAAGUGGCGAACGGGUGAGUAACGCGUAAUCAACCUGCCCUUCAGAGGGGGACAACAGUUGGAAACGACUGCUAAUACCGCAUACUGAAGGAGGGGAUUGCGUCUGAUUAGCUAGUUGGAGGGGUAACGGCCCACCAAGGCGAUGAUCAGUAGCCGGGCUGGGAGGAUGAACGGCCAAAAUGGGACUGGUACACGGCCCAGACUCCUACGGGGGGCAGCAGUGGGGAAUCUUCCGAAAUGGAGGAAAGGCUGACGGAGCAACGCCGCGGGAGUGAUGACGGCCUUCGGGUUGUAAAGAUCUGUUAAUCGGGACGCGGUACCGGAAUAGAAAGCCACGGCUAACUACGUGCCAGCAGCCGCGGUAAUUC